rnacentral:rRNA from 1 species
CCUCAUGGCCCUUAUGGGCUGGGCUACACACGUGCGUACAAUGGCGGUGACAGAGGGCAGCGAGAGGGCGACCUUGAGCUAAUCCCUAAAAGCCGUCUCAGUUCGGAUUGUACUCUGCAACUCGAGUGCAUGAAGGUGGAAUCGCUAGUAAUCGCGGAUCAGCAUGCCGCGGUGAAUACGUUCCCGGGCCUU